UACGUAGGGACCAAGCGUUGUUCGGAUUUACUGGGCGUAAAGGGCGCGUAGGCGGCCAACUAAGUCAGACGUGAAAUCCCUCGGCUUAACCGGGGAACUGCGUCUGAUACUGGAUGGCUUGAGUUCGGGAGAGGGAUGCGGAAUUCCAGGUGUAGCGGUGAAAUGCGUAGAUAUCUGGAGGAACACCGGUGGCGAAGGCGG
rnacentral:rRNA from 1 species